rnacentral:lncRNA from 10 species
UGGCUCUGCGGCUCACCUUGCUGCAGUUGGUGGUGGUGACAGAGACUGCAGCUUGACUGUAGUGGAUUUGGAAAUUAUCUGUCUGGAAGCUCUGAGUUUAUCUUGGGACCUCAAGAGGAGAGGAUCACCCAACUCACAGCAAUCAAACUCCAAAUGGUGCUAUAAACUGAACCACACAUGGACACGUCAGUCUUCCGAGGACCCUUAGAUCAACCCCAGGAGGAGCCCUAGCUGCUGUUCCCCAUUCGACGCCCCUUUCCAGCAGGAAGUAGCCAGAAGACAUCGUCGCCCAAACCUCUAACAGCAGUUAGUGCGGCAUCUCCACAGGGGGGAAUGUUGUAGGAGUUAUUGAUAAAUUAUUUUAGGCAGAUAGAGAGGAAAAGGGGUCCUUAGGAAGUUUUUGUUUUU